rnacentral:rRNA from 1 species
GACGAACGCUGGCGGCGUGCUUAAUACAUGCAAGUCGAACGGAAAGGCCCUGCUUUUGUGGGGUGCUCGAGUGGCGAACGGGUGAGUAACACGUGAGUAACCUGCCCUUGACUUUGGGAUAACUUCAGGAAACUGGGGCUAAUACCGGAUAGGAGCUCCUGCUGCAUGGUGGGGGUUGGAAAGUUUCGGCGGUUGGGGAUGGACUCGCGGCUUAUCAGCUUGUUGGUGGGGUAGUGGCUUACCAAGGCUUUGACGGGUAGCCGGCCUGAGAGGGUGACCGGCCACAUUGGGACUGAGAUACGGCCCAGACUCCUACGGGAGGCAGCAGUGGGGAAUAUUGCACAAUGGGCGGAAGCCUGAUGCAGCAACGCCGCGUGCGGGAUGACGGCCUUCGGGUUGUAAACCGCUUUCGCCUGUGACGAAGCGUGAGUGGCGGUAAUGGGUAAAGAAGCACCGGCUAACUACGUG